ACACAUAAGCUCUUUUUCGAGUUAAGCUGCAUUCGAUUUGAGGCCAUGCAGCUGGACCGUGCACCACUUUAACUUAUUUAAAUGUAAGAUGCAAUUUAUUUUAAUUUUAUUUGGAAUCGUCGAAACUGAAAAUGCACCGGAAGUGACGACACAACUUUCACUUUCAUCCGCGCUCACAAAACGUAAGCUCAUGGAAGAGAAUGAACUAUAAAUUGCGCGCGAGUCUCUUUGAAAGACGUCUCGUGUGUUGGCGGUGAACCGUGGCCCGUCGACGUCACCUGAGAGUGUUGAGAUGGACUUACCAGUGGAGGCAACGGUGCGCUUGGACCUCUUCCCCAACAGGGCGGAGGUGCGAGACGUCCUCAGGUCGCAUGGCUUGGCGUUGACGGACGUGAGCAGCGAUCGGGUGCGCGUGAAGGGCUCCCUUUGGAGCCUGAGGGCCGCGAGGGCCCCCUUGGAAGCGCUUUUCAGCAGGCGAGCCAUCUCUCGGGAUCCAGAGGCUUCCUCCGGAGCCAUUUCCAAACGCCCCGCCGCCGAGCGCUCAGCGCCCCGAGACCAGCCUCCGCGUGCUUCGCCGCCCUCUCCGGGCGCCACCUCGUCUUGGGCUUCUCCACCCGUCAAACAUCCAUCCUCUCCAGAUCACGGAGCUUCCGUUUCUCCACCACCGGACCAGCGCGGCUCCUCCGGGCCCAGAAGAGAGUCCGUUGUGGUCGACGUGGACGUUUUCAGGUACGCAGACCGGCUCCGUAAAAAGAACAUUGAAGAAAUUCUGUCCAGCCAUAAUGUGGAAAUGGAAGCGCAGGAAGUCGGCGAAAGCUGCGUCGUCGCUUUACUGGGGAAGAGCGCAAGAACAGCUGCCGGCAAACUGCAGAGCCUCAUGAAUGAUCUCAGCGUAUCGCUGCGCACACAGGACGUUCCUCUGGAGGACAUGGGUCGGGAAGGUCACGCUCUUUCCACGAGGAUUCGUGGAAAGGGAGACGUUCACCAGUCGGUGGUGGUGUGGCCGCUGAACGACAAGCUUCACCUGAUAGGGCCGUCCGCCGAGAGCCACCAGUUGAAGCAGAGGCUGCUGGGUAGGGCGGACGGAUGCGCGGCGAGGACAGCGGAGACAAACUCCAGGAGUAGAAGCAGCUCUCUGCCGGUCCAACGCAAGGACACAGGGGGGGAUGGCGGCGCCGUGGCGAGGUACCAGGGGGUCUGAAGCGAAAGGAUAUAAGGAAGAAGUGAGGAUCCUUGAGAAAAUGAAAGAUGAUGAGUGAAGUGCUCUUCGUGAAGGCAGAGACAGCACUCAACACGUUCUCUUUGCACUACGUUGACGUUGUUAGCACUAUAUCUUCUUCCUGUUAGGAGUCGAAUGGCGUCGUCUUGUUGUCUAACAGGUGUGAGUACGCGGUGAUUCAUAGUCAGAUUAGGGACGAUAGCAAUUACUGAUUUAUGUCUGAGGAAGUUGCAGUUUAUUGCUUUGUUAGAGUUCAGAAGAAAAAAAAAACGCCACUUAAGCGUCUAUUUACAGAAAAUAUGAAGCUAUGUAUCGUUAGCAACUGGUUAGCUUAGCACACACAGGGGGGAGGUGCAAACUUUGCCCUCCAGAACCAUCUAGAGCUUCAACCGGUGAUGUCCUGGGAACAAAGCCCGCUGUUUCCAGCGGUAGCCUGUUUCUAUUUGUACACAGAUACAGCAAUAUACCGUAUUUGUAAUAAAUCGACAUAGGAAAAGGAUGUUGUUUAGUCUUUUUUAAAGACUCCUUCCUUAUUGAUGAAGUGUAACAUUUGAAUGGUUCUGUCGGAUUAAUGUUGUUGUGUUGUUAUGUAUUCAGACCUCAACCUGAACAGACGGUUACGAAAUCAGCCUGAGAAUAUAUCAAGGAUUAGAGGACUUAUGUCUCAACAAGAUUUGGAAAAACUUGUCCAUGCAUUCCAAUCAAACAAAGAACUUACUUCAAAUCCUGCACUUGGUUCAUAAAGCACUGAAGGGUUUAGGCCCAGUGGUUCUGAUCUGCUGAAUUGUGGUACUUUCAACUACACUGCAAAUUGUACUCUAUUUUAGUUUUUAACAUUGUCAUUUUUAUCUUUUAUGUUUCAAUGAAUGUUCUUAACUGUUUUUAAAUAUCUUUGCUUUUGUGUUUGUUUUGGAUAUUUUAUGUGAAGCACUUUGAAUUGCUUCACAUAAAAUAUUCUGUACAAAUAAAAUUGCCCUGCCUUAGUGCAAUAAACUGAUAUUAUACUGACUGAAAUAUGAUAUGCUUCUGAUAUCGAACGUUCUACUCUAAUCAAGCAAAAAUAACAUUCAUUCAAGUUGUUUUGCUCACGCCAGUUAUUAUCUGAUAUAAAUCUCCUGUGUUUUGUUAUUGCCAGUUGCUCUGACUAUAAACGUCGCUGAUGAACUGAAUGGCUAAGACAAAAUUUAUGUGAAUUGUAAAGACUGAAGAAUAAAUAUAGCGAUUCAUUCAAUACUAACUGUCAUAGUUACGUUAUCUGGUCGUCACUUGUAGCUGUUUUUUAUUUCUCCAUUUUUCUAAUCAUAACUAGUGUUUAUGUUGCACAAUUAGUUUUGUGUUCUACUGGGAGCAGAGCAGCCUGACAGCAGCAGCAUGGGAGGACCUGCGGCCCCUCUCCUUCACACACAGGGGGGCAGAAGGAGCU
ensembl:lncRNA